rnacentral:rRNA from 1 species
GAUGAACGCUGGCGGCGUGCCUAAUACAUGCAAGUCGAGCGAACGGACGAGAAGCUUGCUUCUCUGAUGUUAGCGGCGGACGGGUGAGUAACACGUGGAUAACCUACCUAUAAGACUGGGAUAACUUCGGGAAACCGGAGCUAAUACCGGAUGAUAUUUUGAACCGCAUGGUUCAAAAGUGAAAGACGGUCUUGCUGUCACUUAUAGAUGGAUCCGCGCUGCAUUAGCUAGUUGGUAAGGUAACGGCUUACCAAGGCAACGAUGCAUAGCCGACCUGAGAGUGAGGGGGGCCCGAUGGGAACGGAGACGCGCCCCAGACGCAAACGGGAGGGAGCAGGGGGGUAUCUGCGGCAAGGGGCGAAGGCUGGAAAGAGCAACGCCGCGGGGUGGAGGAGGUUCGUAGGAACGGAAAACUUUGUUGUGGGGAAAAAAAAAAUGUGUAAGUAACUGCGCACAGCUGGCCGGAACCUAAUCAGAAGCACGGGCAAACCCAGGUC